AUCUGCCUGGCUCCCUGGAUGCCAAGUAAGAAGCUUGUCGACAUGUGUCGAUUUCUCAUUAGUUGGCAUCAGAGGAGCCAUGCAGAU
rfam:Citrus sinensis cultivar Ridge Pineapple sweet orange scaffold00647_contig_2, whole genome shotgun sequence.